rnacentral:rRNA from 1 species
AUUGAACGCUGGCGGCAGGCCUAACACAUGCAAGUCGAGCGAGCGGCGGACGGGUGAGUAAUGUAUGGGGACUGCCCGAUAGAGGGGGAUAACUACUGGAAACGGUGGCUAAUACCGCAUACUAUCGGAUAACCCAUAUGGGAUUAGCUAGUAGGUGGGGUAAAGGCUCACCUAGGCGACGAUCUCUAGCUGGUCUGAGAGGAUGAUCAGCAACACUGGGACUGAGAGACGGCCCAGACUCCGACGGGGGCAGCAGUGGGUAAUAGUGCACAAUGGGCGCAAUCGUGAUGCAGCAAUGACGCGUGUAUGAAGAAGGCCUUAGGGGUGUAAAGUACUUUCAGCGGGGAGGCGUUACCCGCAGAGGAAGCACCGGCUAACUCCGUGCCAGCAGCCGCGGUAAUAC